rnacentral:rRNA from 1 species
UACGGAGGGGGCUAGCGUUGUUCGGAAUUACUGGGCGUAAAGCGCGCGUAGGCGGACUGUUAAGUCGGGGGUGAAAUCCCGGGGCUCAACCCCGGAACUGCCUUCGAUACUGGCGGUCUAGAAGUCUGGAGAGGUGAGUGGAAUUCCGAGUGUAGAGGUGAAAUUCGUAGAUAUUCGGAGGAACACCAGUGGCGAAGGCGGCUCACUGGCCAGAUUCUGUCGCUGAGGUGCGAAAGCGUGGGCAGCAAACACG